rnacentral:rRNA from 1 species
GGGCCCGCACAAGCGGUGGAGUAUGUGGUUUAAUUCGAUGCAACGCGAAGAACCUUACCAGGGUUUGACAUCCUGCGAAUCUCUUGGAAACAGGAGAGUGCCUUCGGGAACGCAGUGACAGGUGGUGCAUGGCUGUCGUCAGCUCGUGUCGUGAGAUGUUGGGUUAAGUCCCGCAACGAGCGCAACCCACGUCUUUAGUUGCCAGCACAUGAUGGUGGGAACUCUAAGGAGACUGCCGGUGACAAACCGGAGGAAGGAGAGGAUGAUGUCAAGUCAUCAUGGCCCUUACGGCCUGGGCUACACACGUGCUACAAUGGGCAGUACAGAGGGCCGCGAACCCGCGAGGGGGAGCUAAUCCCAAAAAACUGCUCGUAGUCCGGAUCGGAGUCUGCAACUCGACUCCGUGAAGUCGGAAUCGCUAGUAAUCGC